rnacentral:tRNA from 1 species
GACUCUAUAGUGUAGUGGUUAGCACAUCUGCUUUACACACAGGAGGUCCUGGGUUUGUGCCCCAGGUGAGCCA